GUUUGGGGGGCUAGGCGAGAAGAGUAUAGCUAUAAUACAUGCCUUGCUACUGCACUGAUGAGCUUAUAGCUCAGCAAAGACCUGUUGGAGGGGAGGGGGCAGCCUCAUGGCUACCUGGAGAAACAAUUCGUAAGAGUUUCCACGGAGGUGUGGAUAUAUGUAUCCACAUAUUCCUUUGAUCUGUUCGGCAAGGAUAAACUAGGGCUGAGGGCCAGGGAGAGGGAAGGAGCGGGGAUAAAUACAGAGGCAGAGGGAGGGACUGGGGAAAGGCCAGUGUAAGGAUUGUGGGUUUUUUUCUGAGUAGCCAGAGAGGCACAGCUGGGAAUCUCACUUUGGUUUGGAUGGGGUUACUAAGGGACCUAUGAACAACAGACUACUGGGGGGAAACACUAGAAACUAGUUAGGGAGCUAUGGUGGCAAUCCAAACUAAUUGCCCUGGGUGGGAAAAGAGAGAGUGGCUACAAUCCAUGCCUUGCUGCUGGGUUAACAAGUUUAUAGAGUUCAGCAAAGACCUGAUGGAAUGGAGGCGGCAGCCUUGCAUCUAUCUGGAAAAUAAAAAAAUAUAUAAAUAAAUAAAUAAAAAAAAAAGCAGUUCAAAGGAAUAGCUUUGACAAAGACAAUAAGGUAGGCAUGUACUCAUCUAUUCCUUCAACCUAUUCAGCGAGGAUAGGAUGGGGUAGAGCCAGAGGGAGGCAAGGAGCAGAGGUAAAGGUGCAGGGGUAGGGGUGGGAGUAAAAUCAAAGCUGCUAGACACUGGAAGCAUUAAAGAGGCAGAGAAAACAGAAAUCACUACAGUGCUAAGCAUGGAGGCUAAAGAGAAGCGUGAAAGACGACUCCAAGAUAUUCAGUUGGAGCCGCUAGAAGUUGGGAGUUUCUGGUGUCAAUAGAGCCUGGAAAAACCUGGAGUGGAACCUGGUUGAGUUCUGAAGGGACUGGGUACAGGAGAGGAUCUGCACGCUGGAGAGCAGGCAUGUCUGUGCCCUUGGAGCUCCAGCAAUGCAGAGGUCUUCUCCUCCAGUCAGUACUGAAAGUCUUGAGUGUGCCACAAGAUCCUAGCAAAUGUGGCACGGCAAAGGGGACCGGGUAGUCCCAUGGGAGGGGACCCAGAGAGCGCCUCACUGCUCACAAGCAGCAGCUACCACCGUGAAUCGAAGCCAGCAAAACGCCUUCCAGAUUCCCCCCGGGUGAGAUGACAGAGACUGCUGUGGUCCUCAGGGUGUGACGAGAGUCCUGUUGCAAUCCAAAGAGGAAGAAGACUGUCCACCUGGGCCUCCUUGGUGCAUGCCCAGCCACAAUUCGACAGUACUUGGCAGGGUUGGAAAACCUGCCCAGGUCUUCAGAAAACACCCAGAGUGCACCACUCUUCGCUGGGUAAGGAUACCCAACCAGUUCCUUGGAGCUGUAGCAUCCAUGCUAAAACUGACAGUCUGAAGAAAGCCAACUGGUUUAUGGGUCUGCAGCUUCCCUGGGCCGCCAUCCUCUGCGGCCAUCAAUCCAGCCACUCAGUGCACAGCCACCGCUGUCCACGUUGACGAUGCCUUCCCUGCAGAGAGCUCCAUUCUGCCCCAGCAACGCAGUAAGGGCAUCCGCCCAAUCACUCCCACACAGCCAUAGCCAUGAACCACAGUGAGGACCCCAGCUGGAUGAUCAAUGUGUAGCUCUGCAGUUUCACCAUCUUCAGGACAAGGACACCUGCCAUGGUAACUGGUAACUUUCACAGCCAUCUUUAAGGUAAUGACAUCAAGAUAGGCUACUCCAUUAUAAGAUAAGGCUUGCUGGCCAGGUCCUCACUCUACCAUUGACCACAUGGUACCACCCUCAACCCGCCUUCUUGUUUCUCACUCAAAGCAGUGCUGCUGUCACAGAGAGCAGAAAUCCAACUACAUUUUCAGUGGGAUGCAACAUGGCUUCCUGAGGGCAAGGAAGCCCUGUGGAGUCCUCCAGAUGUAGUAGCAACCGGAUGGAAACUUGGCUGGUUUUAUUCACACCUCCACUCUGCCACCAACCCAAAGGCAGAGAUGUCUGCCCAAGUCAUCCUGGUGCCUAUGACACCCAUGCAGCUGCCCGGGAGGUGAGAUGCCCUACUGGGUUAUCACCACCCAGCGCUACUGCAUCAACCCCAGAAUAAAGAUGUCUACCCUUGGUCGUGAGGGUGACUGUGCUAAUGCAGCUCCUCAGUCAAGUACAGUAAGCUCCACAGCGUGCCCAUCUGCAACGUACAAACACCAGUCCAGACUUUGGAUGUGUGAAUGCAGCUGUGACGCCGUCUGCAGGGCUACAGAGCCUAUCCGGGUCCUUAGCAUGCCACCCAGUGUGGCUAUCCACAAUGCAAAGACUCCACCGGGCCAUACCAUAGCUCUCAGGACAAAGACAUCCGCCCAGCUCCCUGCUGUGAGACGUUCUGUGGAAGUAAACGCUCUGAUCCUGAUGCACAAACGCACCCGUUAACAGACCGGAGGGUUUGAAAGCCCACCCACAUUCUUAGAGCAGGUCCUGAGAGCAUGGCCCCGGGGAUGCAACUAUUCACAGAAUAAGAGCAAUCCAGAGGGUUACCGACACGGGGCUCCACGGUAACAUGGUGGCACACAAGGCUGAGGUCAUCCACCCAGCUACAUACAGAGUAAAAACAUCUGCCCGGAUCCUGGGUGUGCAGAUGUAGCUGUGACGCAUCUUUACAGAUCCCAGAUCUUAAUGCGCAGCCGCAACAAUGAGGUCACCGUCAGAGAGAGGGCGCUCCACUGCGCCACCAUCCCCAAGAUGGCGCCACCAUCCACAAGAUGAGGCUAUCUGCCUAGAUUCUUACUGCGCAGCUGCCGCAAUGCGACAAUGAAAGGACGCUUUUCGCUGUACCACCAGCUCCAGAAAAACACCAGCCCGGAUCCUUAAUGCCCAGCCACCACAGCGCAUAUAUCCACAUGGUAAAAGUGUUCGGUCGGUCGUACCACCAUCCUCAACCUUACUGCGCAGCUAUGGCCGUACAGCUCCCGCGGGUUCUAAAUACUUGACUAUACCGCCAUAUCUGGGGCUAAGAUCCGCUCCGAUCCUUAGUACGCGCCACCACUAUGCAGCUGCCCACAGAAUAAAGAAGGACGUUCCGCGGUGCCCCCAUCCCUACAACAAAACGCGGCAGUCGCAAUGUGGUUACGCGCAGGAGGAGGACGCUUGGAAACCAUCCGUGGGAUAAGAUCCUCUUAGGCCUUUCAAACACAGCUGCUAUGACGCAGUUAUCCACAAGAUAAGGAAUUCUGUUGUAUCAACAUCCCCAGGAUAAGAUCCACUCGGGCAUCUGGUAUGCAAACACCACAAUGCAGGCAUCCACCGGGUAGUACCGACUCUGUUAAACCAUCAUCCAAAAUAAGGACAUACUCUUAAUUCCUUAGUGCGCAAACAGCAGCAGUGCAAGGUAAAGUGCUCUGAGAUUAUCAGUGCACAGCUCCGCUGCGCCACCAUCCGCGGGAGUAAGAAUACCACACAAAACCUUACUGCGCCAUUAAAGCUAUCCACCCCCACAAGGCCGUUUUGCCGGGUAUCCGUGCGCGGCCCCCCUGGGCCUCUAUCCGCAGGGUAACGACAUCCGUUCAGUCACUGAAGUGUAGCCACAAAUAUGUAUAGUUCCCCAGGAUCAAGAUGACAAAAAGCUGGGCAGGUAAUGGCUGGGUAAGGGCAUACGCCCAAGUCCCAGCCAGGCGGCUGGGAACCUUCCAUGGCUGAUCAUUAUGUGACGACCACAAUGCACCUAUCCACAGGGUGAUGGCGAGCCUCUGUGCCAGCGUCUCCAGGGUGAAAAGAUCGGCCAGGCUUCCAGUCGGUUCGAGAGCUGUAGGGUUCUGGGCUCGCAGUUUCCUCAGGGCCGCCCACGCACGAGCUGCACCAACACAGACAUCUGGAUUUUUUCGGCGCCUCCGCCGCCUGCCCAUCAUUCGGCCACAUUGUUAUGAGAGACCUCAAGCAGAAGACUCCCGGCUCCGCGGUCCGUGCUGUAGGUCUUCUACCCGACCAUCUUCAACAAAUAGGGCACGGCUCUUCCUGGAGGAACGGGACCAUCCACAAGAACGGCAGCAGCGUACAGAUACAUGGUGCCGGCACUCGGAUCGGCUACCACACACAGCCUAACGUCGCAAUAGCCUCUGGUUCCUCCUCGGUCGUGGACACAGAGGCGCGGUCAAGAUGUCCGCUCAGCUCCCAGUCGUGCCGCAGUCUGCAGGGUUGGAGACGUCUGGCGAGAUCUGGUGCGGAGGCGGUUGUGACGCAGUCUGCAGGGCGAGUCCGCCAAGAUCUCAGUGCGCAGGCGCGGCAAUGCGGCACUCUGCAGGGUAGGGAUGCGCUCUAUGGCGCCAUCUAUCAGGUAAGAAGGAUAGUCCAAGUCCUCUAUGCGUGGGCACAAAGGCCAGCAAUUCUUACGCGGUGAAGCCGCACAGGUAAUUAGCGCGGCUCUACUGUGGCAGCAUCUUCAGGGUAUCGGCGCGUGGCUGCGUUGGGGUCUGAGGCCUAGGGAUGCUCCGCUGAGUCGGCCGGGAAGAUCGUCCACGCGGAUACUCCGAACACAAUUGCUGCGGCAGCGUGGCAACCAGCCGAUCUCAGUGCGCAGGCGCGGCAAUGCGGCAGUGCGGUAUCGAGUGUGUUCUGCGAUGCCAUCUAGCGGCAAUAUGGCAUCUUGUAUUGGGAGAGCUUUAAGACAAAGGAUUUUCAUCAUAUUUGUUGACCGUGCUGGGGAUCAUACUAGAUAUGGUGCCGCAAGGAAUGCCGCCCCCCCCCCACCAGGGAAAAGCCCCCGUGUCCUGGAUGUGCUCGUUCAUUCUUCAGUAUUUACAGAGAAGAGCCUAUUGUUAGGUUCACAAAUGAGGAAACAGAGGCUAGGAAUCAUGCCAGAACCUUCGGCCAGGAAGAAAUUGCACUACUCAGGUGAAAAUAAAAGAAAGAGACGUAAUAGAUGUGUGUAAAUUUAAUCGAAAAUCCUAACCUGAGCAUCAGUGAAACUGAAACUCCCAUAUAUAUGAGCAGUCAGAAUCUGCAUUGGCAUAUCCUGAAAAUAAAUGUAUGUUCAAUAAAUGAAAUACCCAACAACAAACAAACAAAAGAACAGAUUAUAGAAUGAACAUGCUUUCUGCGCCGGUGGCCCAGCACACAUUCCCUUGUUUUGGUUGGGUUUUAUCCAGGGCCAGCGUUACCACCUCUCUCCUCAGCCCUUGGCUCAUGACAUGGUGGAGCUGGGAAUGGGAGGGCCGGCCCUUUGUAACUGCAGAGGCCUGCAGGAGAGGAGGGGGCGUAGGCUCCUGGGACACUGGAGGUCUGAGUCUCAUUUGCAUAGACGAUGCUUCUUGAGGGGUAGUUCGUGCUCAGUUUGCAACCUGCAGGCUGUGGCUGGAUCCCAGUGUCCCUGAGGCUCUUAUUCCACUGAGUUGUGACACAGAAUGUUUCUUUUUUUUUUUUUUUUGAGCUGAGGCUCGAACCCAGGGCGCUUGCUAGGCAAACGCUCUACCACUGAGCUAAAUCCCCAACCCUUACACAGAAUGUUUCUUAAGAGCCAGAGAACUGUCUGGUUUACUGGGAGUUACCAGGAGGACACAGUGCUGACAGCCAAUAGCAAAACAACAACAAAAACCAGGGGAGGGGUGCAAACAGCCAGAGCAACCAACCGGUGAAAAGAACCUGAAGGCCCCCUGCUAUGCCUCUCCCAAAGUGCAGACUGAGAGCCGAGGGUGAGCAGAGAGGUCUCCAUUGUGCUUAGCACUGUGACUCCCUCCUCGGUCCCAUCAGCUCUUUUCUGGACCACUGAGGAAAGUUUAGGACAUCUUUUUUUUUUUUCCGGAAGCACCUGGAAUUCAAUACUGUGUGGCUGUUUCCUCAUGAGUAAACCGGACUAACAGUAAGACUUCCUCAGUGGAUCCUGGGGAAUGAGCAGGGACCCACCCAGAAGCAGGAGCUCCCCACCCCCCACCCCCAGAGAAGCUUUCUUUUCUUUUCUUUUUUCUUUCCUUUUCUUUUCUUUUCUUUUCUUUUCUUUUCUUUUCUUUUCUUUUCUUUUCUUUUCUUUUCUCUUUUCCUCCACCUUCAGGGGAUGUUUUUCAAUAUAAAGGCUGACAGUCAACACCCAGUGAAGUGCUGAGUGCUACAGCAGUCUGUGAAGGAUGUUGCGCAAUUUCCCCCAUGCUGUGGUUUGAGUCAGAAAUGCCCCACUCCCCAGACCCCCAAUGGCUCCUGGGCUUGAUUACUAGUUCGCAGUCAGUGGCUGUUGGGGACGUUGGGGACUCAUCAUUCAGCUUCCUGCUCAGGCUGGCUACCAAGCCUUCCCUGCUAUGAAGGCUUCAGCCUUAUGGAAACCAACAUUAAUUGCUUUCUUCCUUACAUUGCUUUUGGUCUUGGUGUCUUGGUCUUAUCACAGCAACAGAAAAGUAACUAAUACAGCCUAUAUUUUAUAACCCCCCCCAACACAACAAAGAAUUAUCCAGGAAAAAAAUCAUCAUGUUGAGAGACCCUAAUAUGAACUUCUAGAACAGCACUCAGAGUUGAGGAGGUAUUAGGGACACAGCUGAGACUUGCUGUUGACAGUCCUGACUUUAGGUACUCUCCUAGGAGCUGUUGAUGACCUCUGGAGACAGUAGCUAGCAGGCUGGGAAGAGACAGAGCCAGGCCUUGAACCUGGGUGGCCUGGCUUCAGAGUCUGUGAGUUAUCUAUCACUCUGCCCAUCCACCCAGAAGAGAGGGGCAGAAAAUGGCAACAGCUGAAUCCUCAGCUCUGGAAGCUUGUGUCUAUAUUCAAGAACUUCAAACAAAGAUGGCAAGAGGUCCCAGGAGAUGCCAUAUUUUGAAGCGGGGCCAAGAAAGGAAGACACUAAAGAGGGAAGACAUGAAGGGGUACAGAACACAUCGAGGACCACCCCCCCAGGAGGGUAACUGUAGACCCGUCCAUGGACUUGCAACGAUUUGUAAAGAUAACAGGUAUGAGUCUCAGAGCCAUGAGAACAAUGCUUUCUGCUAGAGGUACCGUGCCUGCCUUCUCUGGGACCAUGGCUUAUGCAAGGCACCCCGGUGCACCCCCUCUUGCUGCCUUCUUCCUUUGGACAUCAAGACCUCCUUCUCUGGAUCAGCUCAUCCUGAUGUCUUCUAGACUUAACUUCUACCGAGGUAACUCUUCUUAGUUUCUCUCCCAACUCCUGGGCUGGCUUUGCCCUUCAGUAACAUCUCAGUGGCUGACACUGCUCACCCAGUGGACAGAGGCUCUGGGAAGGAAAUGCCUUGCACUCAGUACUCCUGCCACUACCCCUAAGUCCUACCCCUUACUCUCCUGCAUGGCAGCCAGGGAGGCAGCCCAGGGCGGGCCACUCUACUGCCUCAGUCUUGAGUGGCAGGAGGCUCCACCCCAGCCUAUCCCUGGAAUGGCAAGGACACGGGAAACAGAAUCUCGCUGGGUCAAAUCAGUUCAUAAUCAUUAUUAAAAAAGAAAAAAAAAAGUCUGGUACCCAGAUCAAAAGGAAAUACAAAGGACAGAAUGCUCAGUGGGUGAAUCAUGGGCUGAGCUCAACCUUCAGAACCUUCAAAGUCAAGGCUAGUGCUACUCUGAGAGCCUCCUUGCCUUCCUUCUCAUCUGGCGCCUAAACAAAGGGCAACGAUGCCAUCCACACCAAGGUCUGCAUCCCAGGAAAUGAACUAGGCUUGCAGUUCAUUCUCCCUGUGCAUCCCAGGGAAGCUGUAACUAAGGAGGCACCUUAGAACCCUACCCCAGAGCACCUGUUAGAUUUAUCUGAGGAGUAGGCAUGAUGCCUACCACAGGCUCCUGGCUGUGGGACGUGUUCUCAUGGCGGCUGUCCCAAUAGGAAACAAGUUGAACUGGGCCUGUCCAGGAGGCCUCUAGGUGAGUCAAGGCCAAAGGUGAGGAAGCUGUUGGGAGGGCAUCACAGAGCAAGUGAAGGUGGGAAGGGAGAAAGGGAAUCCAGGCAUUUGCACUCAUUGUCUCUUCAUGAACCAAGGUUUGUUAGGAGACUCCUGCCAGGUAACUUCCUUAGGCUUCACAGGUCCAAGUCACAUGCAGAUGCUCAAAAUAUCAACCCAUCUUCUUUCCUCCCCUUGGUAUCAGUUUCCCUGCAUCCUCACAGCUGCUCAGCAUCCUCACAGCCGCCCUGCAUCCUCACAGUCACCCUUCAUCCUCACAGCUGCCCUUCACCCUCACAGCCGCCCUGCAUCCUCACAGCCGCUCAGCAUCUGGCCCAGAGUUCAGUCAGAAGAAGUAUUUGCUGAAGGCCAUCUCUGACACAUGGACACUGUCCCAAAGAGGAGUUCCUGCCCUGGGUUCCACAGACUCUGGGUGGUGACAACCCCAAGAUACUGUAAAGAACUACAGAAGGGACAGCCAGUGACCUUCGUCAGAGGAGGCUUGUGCCAUGGUAAGCCACAGGCAGGAACCACACCAGACACCUGCCCCUUCCUCCACUCAGCUGUCAAGCCCAGAUCACCUGGACCCCUUUCUCUGAUAUCUUAGGGCUGUGACUGGCUGGCAAUCAUGCAGUAACUACACAGUGUUAGGCCCAUGUCAGUCCUCCUGAGGGCCAUUGCUUCUCUUAUUUGCUUCUCAUAUCCUCAGUUCGGCACAGGGUUGUGUAUUAAAUGGAACGGCAUAUACAAAGGAAUAGCCUGCCUCCAGCUAUUAGCAGCAAAGACUCAGCAAGUGGCUCCUUACCAGGAUGGGUAGAACCUGUUAUUACAAGGAGGCACCAAGUUGGCAGGAGGGUAGGGAAGAGCACUCACUGGGGAGUGACAUCUGAGAACUCAAGGCAUACCAGUGCAGAGAAGGAUGCUGGGAGGAACAGUGUCCUGGUCCCAGUCAAGAGAUGAGCAUGUGCCAACGCUCACAGCUAUGAGAAGAGAUGGGGCUGGCAUGGUAAGGAGGCAAGGGGGCCUGGGAACACUGCUGGACUUUAUUCUGAGAGAAAUGAAAAGGCAUGAAGAGUCAAGUGAAAUGCUUGGCUUUCAAAAUGUAAAGAGAAAGACAGAUAUACACACGUGUGUGCACAGGCAUGUAAACUGACAGAUCGUAAGUAAAUUACAUAGCAGACUUUCUCUGGGUGGUAUCUGAAUCACUGAUUGUCAGGAUGAGUUGGGAAGUAGGGAGGUCAAGAAUUUAGUCCACUCCAAACCUCUGUUCCUAAAUAACUGUGCCCUGUAUGUACAGAAGGUCUGAGGGUCGGUGGAAUGGAACAGACAAUCCAGAUCAGCAUCUAGCACAGUCCCCGACAAAAACUGUGGGAUGCUGGACAACCUAACAAAUCUCUCAAAACAUCUGUCCCCUCAUUUGCCAACCCAUAACCUCUCCACCUGAAAGCAUGGGCUACAUGUCACAUCUUGGGACACGAAGCCCUGUUUCCUAUUAUAAUGAACACUAGGGAGGGUCAUUACAAGCCUGCUUGGUAGAUUCAGCACAGACGCCUUGUGAAAAUUAAUGACACUUAAAUCCUUCGGGCUGAACAUGCCCUGUGUGUCCCUGAAAACCUGCCUCUAGCCUGCACCGCGCUGCAAGCCAAGGGCUCAGACGACAGUAGCUCCAGGCUCUCUGCACUCUGGGCUUCCGGCUGGACCCAGAACUGUGGGCAAAAUCAGCAAGAGACGAGGCAGGAGAGUGGGUAUGGCCAGAAAAGAAACUCUACAAUCCAGGUGGGCUGAGCCUUGUCCUCCCAUGGGGAACCGCUCUCUACACAGUCCUCCUAUGCCCCCCUACCUGGAGGUUUUCAGGGUCCCCCAGAGGUUGCCAGCUGUAGUCAACUGCUUUGCCAUACCUCCCACCUCCCACCGCUAGGCUUCUGAAAAGAAGCCCUCUCUUCAGUUUGCACCAUGCCCUCUCUGACGUCGCCACCAGUUUCUGAAAAGAAUCCUAAAGGUUAUGUCCAGUGAAAGCUCCCUUUUCUUGUACUCCUCAGCUUGGGCCUCAGGCCUGGUAUGUGGCCACCUCUGGAACAUGGGGCCGUGGGGGACCAGAAGCACAAAGGACAUGCCAGCCAACACAGACCCUUGCACAUGACUAGCAUAGGGUACCAGUGGACUGGGUGGGACAGAACACACAGACCACAUAAUCCUCACGUUCUGAGCCUGACUGCACAUGUGAGUUAGGGGAUGGGAAAUCAUCAGAUUCCUGGGGCAGGGGUGAGAACCUUCUGUAUGAACCGAGGACCAAACAUGGAAGGAAAGACACUGGUGGUGGUGGUGUGUGUGAUCUUGGUGAGAACAAAGCAGGAUACUUUGUCUUGAAAAGUGAUCAAUAUGGCAGAUUAAUGCACAGAAAACAGAGCGCAGAUGAAACUCCCUAAAAUAUUUAUGAUGUUCGAGUGGUUUUUUUGAACAGAAGCAAGUUUUUCCUGUGCAUGCCAGCCCACUCCAUCAAAAGAACACUUUAAUAAGGCAAUUCCUGCAGGAGGCUCGGCACAGGCGUCGCAGCAGGACGCGGUGGUGUGUUUCAGAAGAUAUUCAUGGUUCUCUCUGGAAAAGAACAUUUUGGGAACUAGGAAGCCCUUCUCCUUUAUCAAUCUGGCCAUUUUCAUAACCAGAGAAGUAAUAAUAGAGCGGAUGCACUAGAAGCUUCUGCUGCUUUUUUGCCUUAAGGGAAAAAGGAGGUGGUGGGGAAUUCUGGGUGAUGAUAAUAGUACCAUAUAUUAAACCUGACAUCAUUCAUCAA